GUCCUAUUGGGCUACCAGGUAUGGAGAGUUCUCAGGAAAAAAAAAAAAAAGGCACCUGUGCCGCCCACUUCAUCAGAACUAUCUGGUGGUAGAGUUGAGUCCCAUGGAGGAUGCUUCUGGGACUCAACAGGUCUGCAUCCUUCAGCCCUCUGAAGGACCUGAGCCCUGAUCUCUCUGUCCAUAGGCUCCAUGAUGUGUGCCAUGGGAAGCACCCUGCAGACCGUACAACCUCACCAUUAGGCUGUCCUUAAAAAUUGGAAAGAAUUUCACUUUAAUGAUCUGCAAAAAGAACAACUUGUCUUCUAUUGUAAUACUGUUUGAGUCCAGUAUAAACUUGAAAAUGGUAAAAGAUGAGUACAGAAUGGCAAUCUACAUUACAGUACUAUUCUUAAAUUAGAUCUUUCCUGCAAAAGAUAAGGAAAGUAGUGUGAAAUCCCUGUGUUCAGUCUUUUAUGACUAUCUCUGGAAAAGUCCAAGAACUAUGGUACUUAAGUCUCCAAGAAAGAGGAAAUCAAUAUCAUUGAUGAGCCUGUCCUCAGCUGCCCACCUGUCUCAGGGAUGUGGGUCUUUCCUACCUGUUUAAUGAAAACUACCAUACUAUGUGCCUCCUCAACCUCACCCUCCACCUAAUAAUCCUCUGGCCAGUAAAUCAGUCCCAUUCUCUUCAAGUGACUCAAACUCCACCAAAACCGGCUCCCCAGGGAGACCUAGUAUUCUACAGCCCUCUCCCCAUGUUCCUCAGAUAGCUUUCAGCCCUGCAGGACAUACACAAAGUGGAGUUUUUUAUCCUGACUCAUAGCUAUCCUGCCCUAGAGGCUCACAGGAGUAGAGGGGACUACUCGUCCAGAUUCCUUUUUCAGUGACUGGUACCCAACAAUGCAAAAAGCAGGCCAAUUUUUAGAAGAUCCUGGUAAGUUUGCAGAGGGUUCCCCAGACCUCUAGGACCCAAUAACUAAACUCAGCCUCUUCUAUGUUCAACAGUCAGGAUCUGGAUGUGGAUGAGAGAAGGGCUGAGAAAAAAAAAAGACCAAAAUGUAUGGCUUUCACAAAUGGCAGUACUUUAAGCAAACUGAAGGGAAAGAAGUCAGCCAUUCUCCUCGUGGCCACUAUAAGCUACUUUCUCAAUCAGAGAAAAGAGUUCCUGCUAAUAAAAGAAAAUUGGACACUGGGCAGGUGACUGUACACCUGGGCCCUGCUCCAGGUGCCCGGUGUCAGGUGGCUGAUAUACCUGAGGAUUGACUCCUUACUCCCAGAGAGGCCAGACCAGCUAAAACCCUCACCUCCCACUCUGAUGAAGAGGACUGAAGGGGCCCAGGGAAACCUACAGUGGCCCUGUCCACAGACAUCUCCAUCUCCUAUGAGGAACCCCAGGUGACUCUGAAUCUCAUGGGAUAAAGCCAGCCCCACCUGAAUUAUCUAAGGGAAAACGAGCACCCAAAAGAAGAAAGUUACUCCUGUGAACAUCUGGAAGACCUGAGGCUCCUCUUCAAAAAGCAAGACCAGUACUGCCCCAAGUGCUGAUAAAUAGUCAUGAAUGACCCCUAACCCACCACAGCUUAAAAGGGUACUGUACUGGGACUUCUGCUUUUAAUUGGAUCCAUAAUACAGGAUUACGUCCAGAAGAGAACAUCAUUUGUAUUCAAAAUGUUUAGACAAUCACUUUUCUGGAAGCAACCCACUGCACAGAGCUCAGGUUCUGUGAUGAACUCUCAGAAACACAGAUGUACCCACUUCCCAAAGAGAAGACUGAUGUGCACAGCUUUUCCACAUCUGUAUGUGUCAUGUACACUGUGCAAAAGGUUGUUGCUUAGUCCAGUUUCUACUCUUACAGAUGUUUGAAGGAUUAUGUGCUUGUAAAGCAGUAUUAGUGUAGAUACUGGUGCUGUGGUUUGAAUUUGUUCCCCAAGAAGUGGAUGUUAGAGACUUCAUCCCUGAGG
rnacentral:lncRNA from 1 species